GUAAUACCUAGGAAUCUGCCUGAUAGUGGGGGAUAACGUUCGGAAACGGACGCUAAUACCGCAUACGUCCUACGGGAGAAAGCAGGGGACCUUCGGGCCUUGCGCUAUCAGAUGAGCCUAGGUCGGAUUAGCUAGUUGGUGAGGUAAUGGCUCACCAAGGCUACGAUCCGUAACUGGUCUGAGAGGAUGAUCAGUCACACUGGAACUGAGACACGGUCCAGACUCCUACGGGAGGCAGCAGUGGGGAAUAUUGGACAAUGGGCGAAAGCCUGAUCCAGCCAUGCCGCGUGUGUGAAGAAGGUCUUCGGAUUGUAAAGCACUUUAAGUUGGGAGGAAGGGCAUUAACCUAAUACGUUAGUGUUUUGACGUUACCGACAGAAUAAGCACCGGCUAACUCUGUGCCAGCAGCCGCGGUAAUACAGAGGGUGCAAGCGUUAAUCGGAAUUACUGGGCGUAAAGCGCGCGUAGGUGGUUUGUUAAGUUGAAUGU
rnacentral:rRNA from 1 species